UACGUAGGGCGCAAGCGUUGUCCGGAAUUAUUGGGCGUAAAGAGCUCGUAGGCGGCUUGUCACGUCGGGUGUGAAAGCCCGGGGCUUAACCCCGGGUCUGCAUUCGAUACGGGCAGGCUAGAGUUCGGUAGGGGAGACUGGAAUUCCUGGUGUAGCGGUGAAAUGCGCAGAUAUCAGGAGGAACACCGGUGGCGAAGGCGGGUCUCUGGGCCGAUACUGACGCUGAGGAGCGAAAGCGUGGGGAGCGAACAGGAUUAGAUACGUACGGGUCAGU
rnacentral:rRNA from 1 species